rnacentral:rRNA from 1 species
CCUACGGGAGGCUGCAGUGAGGAAUAUUGGUCAAUGGACGAGAGUCUGAACCAGCCAAGUAGCGUGAAGGAUGACUGCCCUAUGGGUUGUAAACUUCUUUUAUAUGGGAAUAAAACGUUCCACGUGUGGGAUUUUGUAUGUACCAUAUGAAUAAGGAACGGCUAACUCCGUGCCAGCAGCCGCGGUAAUACGGAGGAUCCGAGCGUUAUCCGGAUUUAUUGGGUUUAAAGGGAGCGUAGGUGGAUUGUUAAGUCAGUUGUGAAAGUUUGCGGCUCAACCGUAAAAUUGCAGUUGAAACUGGCAGUCUUGAGUACAGUAGAGGUGGGCGGAAUUCGUGGUGUAGCGGUGAAAUGCUUAGAUAUCACGAAGAACUCCGAUUGCGAAGGCAGUUCACUGGACUGCAACUGACACUGAGGCUCGAAAGUGUGGGUAUCAAACAGGAUUAGAUACCCUUGUAGUC